GUAGAAUAAUUUACACACAGCAAGAUUUUAUUUUCAUAUCAUUCCAAUGUUUUCUGUACAUGUCAUUGCUUGGCUCUCCGUUUAAAACAUAGAAAAAAUAAAUUGUCAAGCAUUAUUUAGUCAUGGCACAUUUUGAUCCUGUACAUGUGUGUGGAUGUGAAGAGAAAGUGAGUGAUAUUUAUAUAUGUGAUAUACAUGAAGUUAAUGGCACAUUUUGAUCCAGUGUGGGGAUGUAGCCAUCUUUGUGGUUGUACAGGGGUGUGACAUAUACGACACCAGUAUAUGCAUCUGUGACAGAUAAUCUAUACAUAAUGUAUUAAUGAUUAAUACAUCAGCAGAUCCUCUAACAAUAACAUGACAGAGGUUCAUAAAGAGGUAUCCUCUAAGCCUAUACAUAGGGCCCUCUGAGGCCAUCUACUGUAUGUGCACAGAGGGAGGAGCAGCAAUUAUAACAGAGACAAAACCCAUGGCAAGAGAGACUUCAACCAAGGACGACACAGACACCUACAACUCCACCUAUAGAAAAGCACAGGGCUAGAGACCUUAACGUAGUGAACUGAAUAAACUGGAGCAGACCACUGACCAGACCGCAAGACUGGGACUCCAUUUUACCCUUAACCCUCAUUAUUACAGCCACCCACACUAAACAACCAGUAACUGCCUCUCAUCCAUCUGCCAAACUGGAACGCUUCAAUGACCGUUGACUUUGACAAUGAACAACAAACAAAUGAGCAAGGGCAAUGUAUAUUGUUAUUGCAUAAACAAUUAUGUAAAUGUCACUACUAGUAUUUUGUUAACAACAACAGUACAUAAGUAAUGUUGAAAUAUGAUUACACUGUUAACAGACAUUGUACAUACCACAUAGCUGUAGGAGUUUUCCUUCAUACUGACCCAUGGCAAUGUUUACUUAACAUGGCAGUGUUAUUAACACUACCAGAACCACCCCCACAUUAGAUUGGGAAGUAACCAUCAUUUCUGAUACAAUUUAUAGCUUAUUUAAUCUAGUCUUUUCCUCAACAAACAUGCAGUGGUCUUUUCCAGUUUUUAGCUUCAAAAAGCAAAUGUCAGCUACAUAAAAAUAUGUAUUUUCUGUUGGUGGGGGAGUAGGGGUCAGUUGUUCACACAAACUGCAACAUGCAUUUAAAAUGGCAUAGAACAUGAUGAAGUGAAGGUUUCAGGCCACAUAUGUCAUUAUACACAGGAAGCCAAUCUGGCCAGAGUUGUGCUGCUCCAUAGUACAUCUACAGAAAUGUUACCUGCUCUGCACUGUGUAGUGGGAUAGUGUCAUGAGCAAAAACAUCUAACUUUUUAAUUUUAUUUAGAAAAAGUUAUAUACAUUGAUAACAAUGUUAAAUUCAAUAAUGUACAAGAGUAGUAAAAGUUUACAGUCAGAAAAUUUGCCCUCCCUAUUAUGGCAAAAAUAAAAUAAAAAUGGAAAUCAACAUCUCUAAACAUAAUACUUUUUUCUUUUUAAAACAAAACAAUACAUACAAUUCUUUGUUCUCAACCUGUUCUCUAGCAUGCUCUGUCAAACCCCAUAAUUAGGUUAUCAGAGUUUUAAACUAAACAUAAACUUCCCUAAAUCAAGUGCUUACAUUUUUCAGGGAAUAUCUCCCACUAUUUACAGGUCUUGAAGUUUUGAUUUCUUUUAAUAAAACAUGUAUAUUAUGCAUUUUAAAUGGGAGUUCUAUUCUCCCCAUGUCAUGCAAUUAACUGUUGCUAAUUAUACAUGAUCCCAUGUGCUUUGGGUGUUAGGCUCUAAUUAACAAAGAGAGAUGGUCGAGAUAUUCUAUAAGCAUCAAAUUAAUUAUCAGCUGGGGAUGGUUGGGCUCAUGCACAAAGCAAGCCAGAGCUUCACCCCUAGAAGAGACAACAAGAUUUUGAUAUUACGCCAAAAUCACGAAUAUCGUUCACGUAAUUAUCCCCAAACAGUUGUAUUAUGAAUCAUCCAGGUAAGCGAAGACAGGGUUUGUUGCCUCCUUCCUUGCUGUGUGGCAGCUACGAGUUCAGAAGACACCCCUUUUCUGGUUAGAAUGCAUAAUACAUUAAUAAUCCAGUCUUGUCCUGCUGUGAUGUGUGUGUGGGUUGGUUCUCCACUAGUGGUGGAGAGUGAGAAGAGACAACAGUGCAGACCACAGCUGACUAGUCCAGGUCACAGAGGGUCUGUGCAGUCAGGAGGGCGGUCAGUCUGAGCAAGGCACUAUAGGACAGAACCCUGGCUCCGCACUCCUGUCCUGCAUCUGUAUUUCCACAUCCAGCCACCAGGGGGCAGUGAACACCACGUAUCACGAGUCAUCACGCUGAUUAUCUUGACCGGCUGAACAUCUGUUUGUCAAAGGGUCGUGUAAGCUACAUCUCCAAAAAGAUUGUUUUCUAGGAUGCCAAGAGAACUUGCAUUUUAGUCAGAGACUGGUAGGUAGCUCCUUUUACCCCCAAGCUCAUGCCUCCCUGAGAAGUUACAAUCUAGAGUUCAUUUUACUGUUUAUUAUGGCACACAGGAUUGUCCUAGUCUAGCUUUCUUAGGAAAAAGUCCUUUGACCAGCGGAGGCAUGCAUUGUCCAGACAGACCCAAUCCAUGGCAUUGAUAUAAUAAGGUUAUUUCUUGAUAUUCACAGUAGAAAAAACACAACAUUAAUGGAAAACAACAACAGAGAAAUAAACACGCUUCUAGAGGAUACAUUAAAAGGCCUUGAGGCUAAAUGCUGUAAUGCUGUAUUUGAUUGACUAAGCAGGCCCAGGACUCAAGGAGAUACGUAUCGCCAAACCUGUGAAUCACUUGUUAAAAGUAUGACAAAGGCAUAGCCAAGCUAUUGCAGAUUUUGGCUGUGUGAUCAAGAGAUAUAUGCAUUAAUGAUAUGAACUACUCUUUCUUGAUGCGGAAUUUCCAUAAAAAACUAAUAUCAUGUCUUCCCUAGAAAAAUGUACACACAAAAGCAGAGCUAUCUGGUUCACUGACAACAAUCAGGUAGCGGGUGGGUAGGUCUACUCAACAACAGUUAGUACAUUAACUUGUAUGUUAAACCUUUUCUUUCAGUAGGAAAUCCAACCAAACCGUAAGCUUGGAAAAUCUGAGCAUAUUAAAAUCAAGGGAAAAAUAUUUAAUAAGAAUCACCAGUUAAAAGCUGUCAUGUUACCAUUCUUGCCUAAUUAACCUGUUAUAAUAAAUGGAGAAUUAAAUGAGUUUUUGGAAAUGUUUAAAAGAGCUGAAGUUGUGCUGUUCAGGUCUGUGGGCAGAGUUGAACAGCACAGGGGAUGAUAGGGGAAACAUCUGCUUUCUGAAAGCAGCAGCAAAGCCUGAAAAUUGUAUGCUUCUGUUUCUUCCAGGCUCCGCUCAGGAGUUUUUCUAAAUUGCUACUUUAGGUUAUGCUUCACACUGCAUUGGGGGUACACAUGGCAGUGAAGACAACUGACUGAUAGGGAGUGAAAAAGUGAUACCUAUCUGAUUAUGGGAAAAAUAUUCAGGGUAAUGACUGUGUCAAAACAAGCUUAUUUACUUUGUGCUUGUUCUGAUCGUUACAGAAAUAGUAUUUUUAACCUAUUUAGAGGGUCACGGUUAGAACUAUAUUCUGAUAGUAUCAUGAUGUCACAGCAUUGGUGGGCAGAGUCCCUGUUCUCUGAUUGGCCCACACAGAAAACAGAUCCACGGAGAGAGAUGCUGUAGACUGGAACUGCUUUCUACAAACACAGUGAGGUAGACUGUGGCCCAACACACAGACAAUACAACUACCAACGCCUAACGUUUAUAGCUCUACUCUUUAACAAACUAGUAUUUUUUCACCUGACUUUCAACAUUUAAAAAAUGGACUAAAAAGCAAACUAGUUUCUUUGUACAAUGACAACGAUCAUAAUAAAAUAAAUAAAAUAUUCAAUCUGUAUAGUUUUUUUAAGAUUAUGGUGAGGAAUUUAAAACAACAUACAUUGUAUACAACACCAUGAAGAGAGAAUAGUCAUAUGUAGAGAUAAAGAUCCAUGUGUACCUCUCAUUGCUGGCAUGUAUGCACAGUUGUGAUGAAGGUUUUCCCCAGCAAAAAAUAUAUAGUUUUUACCAGACACCAUGUACCUCUAGUUAUUUACAAAGUUAAAAAGUUGGAGGUUUCAAUUAAUUGACAUUUCUUUCUUGUAUUUUGGGCAAUUGAUUAACAUCAAGAAACAGAGUAAAUCUAAUUCUCAAGAUUCGGCAAGAAUCAAAAAGGUAGUUAAAGUGUUUGAAAUGUGAAAACCUUGGUAAGCGGACUUGCUACUCAAACCUUACCUGAGUCCAAAAGCUAGCCAUACUGUCAUUCCCUAUAGCAACAGUAACAACUGUCGUACCUUAUUCAACAUCUCAAAAUAGCACUUGAGAUUCACGGUAUGGAUUUGACUCACAUUAACACAGUGUUUCUCUCCAUCUGUCUACCAAGUACAAAUACACAAAAACUGAGUAGCUACAUGCACUAGCAUAGAUUUGUGCGCUAACCAACAAAUAGUAACCAGCAUGUACAGCGUACAUCCAUCACUCUGGUAUGCAGAUGUCUGAGAAGGCACAGGGUGGAGACUGACACAGACAGACAGUUCUAACUGGGCGAUGAUGAACAAUGAAAGAGUUAUGGUUAAUAAUACUAGGCCCAUUACUCUAGCCACAAUGGCUCAAACUGCUAUGUGACUGUGAUUCUCAGUCUGUUAGUAAUGGUUCUGACAACAGACAAUGAGGUUAUUGCUGUGUUGUUCAAGAAGGAGGGGUCACAAAUAAAGCGUGUGUGGGGGAAACAUUAAUUAUAUGACAUGGCUUGUUGUGCUUCUCAAUGGGAAUGCCAUGCAGACACUUCUCAAUCCAUUUAAGUAUUUAACACCAAUUUGUGACUUGAAUGCCCGAAUGUAUGUGCACGCGUAGUGAACUUGGGAAGUACAUGGGAUUGUUUAAUGUCUGCAUGUAUUAUAAUAAAAUAAACUGAGGUUACCAUCUUCAUGACCAUCUUCAGAUAUUGGAGCAAUGUGUGAAGAGGGGUACACCACAAUCCAACCUAGAGGCUGUAGGAUUGAAAGAAACCCUAAUCAAAGGAGGGGGGCACAUAUGUCCAAAAUAUUUGUCUUAAGAGUGGAAGGGAGAAGGAAUAUUAGGCACACAGCACCAGCAGGGGAGUGUUGGCCCAGUCCUGGGGGAGCUACAGCACAUAUUCAAUAUGUCCCGACACACACAGUACAGGUCAUUGAGGGAGUCUGAUGGGAUUAGUGGCCGUGGCAGCCACCUACUGUGGACUCUGAAUGCAAUAGGAGCGUUCCAGAACACUCCAAUCAAAAGCAUUCAACCACGGUAACAUGGAACAUUCCAACAGCAGUCUGAUUCGGACUGCCUUCUUGUGUCAGGAAGCACUAUGUGGGGAGGGGCUGGGGGGAAGCAAAGGCAGGUGGUAGGGUCAAAACAAACCCAGUUGAAUGAGGGCAGGGGGGUUGUUAUGGAGUAAAGCUGAUGCUAGCUAUCCAUUCAGGUAAAGUACUGCAGGAUCGCUCGAUGUCCUGAAGCUAUGGGGUCGUGCAAUGCAUCCACCGAUAUGGGCUUCUGGCCUGGUCUCCAGUAGAGGACAUACAUGGAUGACCCUACCAUAACCCUAUAAACACCAUUACCAACAGCUCAAGCUGAGACAGUGAAGUACAAUCAAGCAGGCUGAGACAUGCUGUCUGCCCAAACAAGCAUACGUGCCAUCUCAAGCCCCACAAUAACAUAAAUCAAUCAACAGAGAGCUAAUGAUCAACUAUGAGACAAAUUCUAACACAAUCAAAAACAAGUUAAAACAAUAGAUAACAUUAAGGUCUCCAAGACUGCUACAUCAAACAUCAGAACAAAGAAACAUCAGCUGGCAACCAAGGUGCCAUUCAUUCCCCUUUCAGUUUUUGGUUCUUAUUGUUUUAGCAUAAAGGGCUCCCACGCGCUUCCACUGACAGGAAGAACACCAUUUAUUAGAUGCCGUGAAAAAAAUAAAAAUAGCUGAAGAGAACAGACUUCUCCUGAGGGGUUUGACAGAGUACUAAAAAGGUAAGGUCUAUGACAACAAUGAGCAUUGAUGGCCAAAUACUGUGAAAAUGGGGAUUAUAAUAUUUUUAAGAAUAAAAAAGAAUUAAAAAGACAUUUUACCAGCUAAGCCUCAGAGGAAAGAAUUACAAAUAUGAUCAGUAUGUACAGAAACAUCAAUAUUGUUUAUAUUAUAUAAAAUAUUGAUUGAAGUACCAAUAUUCUAUAUGUGUGUGUGUGUGUGUGUGUGUGUGUGUGUGU
ensembl:lncRNA